UACGUAGGGUGCAAGCGUUAAUCGGAAUUACUGGGCGUAAAGCGUGCGCAGGCGGUUUUUUAAGUCUGCCGUCAAAUCCCAGGGCUUAACCCUGGACAGGCGGUGGAAACUACCAAGCUGGAGUACGGUAGGGGCAGAGGGAAUUUCCGGUGGAGCGGUGAAAUGCGUAGAGAUCAUGAGGAAGACCAGUGGCGAAGGCGGGUCUCUGGACAGUUCCUGACACUGAGACACGAAGGCCAGGGGAGCAAACGGG
rnacentral:rRNA from 1 species